rfam:Triticum aestivum genome assembly, contig: Triticum_aestivum_CS42_TGACv1_scaffold_081541_1DS
GAAAUACUCCCUCCGUCCCAAAAUAAGUGUCUCAACUUUGUACUAACUUUAGAACUUUGUACUAAAGUUAGUACAAAGUUGAGACACUUAUUUUGGGACGGAGGGAGUAGAAG